CCUGGCCAUGGUGGGCCGGAAUUGCCAGCCCAGAGGCUCAAAAUGUCCACAUCCACUUCGGCUGCCCUGUCACCUGCUGCGUUCCGUGGUAAUCUUGGUCUGCUAUACAUCCAAGCAGGCUGUGAACUGUCACUGGGACCAGUACCCUUGACCUUUCUCACAGGUGGCCACUUUGAAGGCUCAGGCUCGUCCUCACUCGGCCCUUCCUCAUCACUGUUGGCUUUCAGCUCACCCGCCCGACAUCCUGUGGACGCUGCAGUUCAGACAAACAGCAAGAUCAUCAAAGAGAAGAGCAUGAAUGAAAAACUGCUUUAUGACAUGCCUUCAAAGUGUCUUUUUAGAAGUUCAAAGGAUGUGGAGAGGAGGCAGGGGAAUCAAAGACGAUGGGGGAGAGCAAUGAACUCUCUAAGGGAUCGUCGGGUUUUUCAUUGUAUAUUUUCUGUGACG
rnacentral:lncRNA from 1 species